GCAAGAUUAAAACUCAAAGGAAUAGACGGGGACCCGCACAAGUGGUGGAGCAUGUGGUUUAAUUUGAAGAUACGCGAAGAACCUUACCUAGCCUUGACAUUGAUAGAAUCUUCCAGAGAUGGAGGAGUGCCUUUCGGGGAACUUGAAAACAGGUGCUGCACGGCUGUCGUCAGCUCGUGUCGUGAGAUGUUGGGUUAAGUCCCGCAACGAGCGCAACCCUCGUCACUAGUUACUAACAGUUAGGCUGAGGACUCUAGUGAGACUGCCUUCGUGAGGAGGAGGAAGGUGAGGACGACGUCAAGUCAUCAUGGCCCUUACGGCUAGGGCAACACACGUGCUACAAUGGUUAGGACAGUGAGAAGCGAUACCGCGAGGUGGAGCCAAUCUAUAAACCUAAUCUCAGUUCGGAUUGUAGUCUGCAACUCGACUACAUGAAGCUGGAAUCACUAGUAAUCGUAGAUCAGCUAUGCUACGGUGAAUACGUUCCCGGGUCUUGUACUCACCGCCCGUCACACCAUGGGAGUUGAUUUCACCCGAAGCGGGGAAGCUAAACUGGCUACCCUCCACGGUGGAAUUAGCGACUGGGGUGAA
rnacentral:rRNA from 1 species